AGAUGUAGCUCAGUGGUAGAGGGCUUGCCUACCAUGUAUGAUGGCCUGGGUUCAAUUCUCAGUAUUU
rnacentral:tRNA from 1 species